rnacentral:misc_RNA from 1 species
UCUCCGUCGGUGAACCAGCGGAGGGAUCAUUAUCGAGUUUAUAACUCCCAAACCCUAUGUGAACUUACCACUUGUUGCUUCGGCGCGCGCUUCGGCGCCGCCGAGGACACUUAAACUCUUUGUUUUUAUAAGCAUUUCUGAGUGGCCGAAAGGCAAAAUACAAAUGAAUCAAAACUUUCAACAACGGAUCUCUUGGUUCUG